UACGUAGGGGUCGAGCGUUGUCCGGAGUUACUGGGCGUAAAGCGCGCGCAGGUGGCUCAUUACGCCCGGCGUGAAAGCCCCCGGCCUAACCGGGGAAGGUCGUCGGGUACGGGUGAGCUUGAGGGUAGCAGGGGCUGGUAGAAUUCCCGGUGUAGUGGUGAAAUGCGUAGAGAUGUGGAGGAACACCAGUGGCGAAGGCGACUCUUUGGUCUGUAACUGACGCUGAGGCGCGAAAGCGUGGGGAGCAAACAGG
rnacentral:rRNA from 1 species